rnacentral:rRNA from 1 species
CUACGUGCCAGCAGCCGCGGUAAUACGGAAGGUCCAGGCGUUAUCCGGAUUUAUUGGGUUUAAAGGGAGCGUAGGCGGAUUAUUAAGUCAGUGGUGAAAGACGGUGGCUCAACCAUCGUUAGCCAUUGAAACUGGUAGUCUUGAGUGCAGACAGGGAUGCUGGAACUCGUGGUGUAGCGGUGAAAUGCUUAGAUAUCACGACGAACUCCGAUCGCGAAGGCAGGUGUCCGGGCUGCAACUGACGCUGAGGCUCGAAAGUGUGGGUAUCAAACAGGAUUAGAUACCCUGGUAGUCCACACAGUAAACGAUGUAUACUCGCGGUUUGCGAUAGACAGUAAGCCGCCAAGCGAAAGCAUUAAGUAUACCACCUGGGGAGUACGCCGGCAACGGUGAAACUCAAAGGAAUUGACGGGGGCCCGCACAAGCGGAGGAACAUGUGGUUUAAUUCGAUGAUACGCGAGGAACCUUACCCGGGCUUGAAC